CAACAGAGCUGUGAGUUGGAAAACUCUGGUCUCAAAUUAACAUCUAGAAAGUAGAUUAAAUUUGUUUGUAAUAGACUAGCUAAAGUUUAACUAGCUUUCUUAUUACUGUAAUUUCACAUUUAAAGUGUGCAUAAUUAAAAACAUUUGCUAGAAGAAAACAGCAUUUGAGAGUGAACAAAAGCUUUGAACUGAUAUGUUAAAUAUGCAGUGCCAAAGAAACACUCGGGAGAAAGUCCAGCAUGCAAUUGGAAAUUCAAGGCUGCUCAUCAGUGGAGUAGCAAGUCUGAAAACAUUUGUCAACUCUGCUUGAUCUUUCCACAUACCUCAUCGGCUGGCCCCUUGGGCCCAGAUUUCAACUGAUACUUCUGGCAGAAAAUGCUUGUACCAGUCUACGCCUAACAAUAAAGAACCCAGUUCCCAACUUCGACAUUUGGCUGGUGCUCCGGUGACGCCUGUCCCAAAAGAGAAAAGCCAAAGAAGUAAAUCUGAGUUACCUGAACAGAAAUUAAAAUUUCCCACAUAAAUAAAUCUCAUGAUUUCCAA
rnacentral:lncRNA from 1 species